rnacentral:rRNA from 1 species
AUUCCAGCUCCAAUAGCGUAUAUUUAAGUUGUUGCAGUUAAAAAGCUCGUAGUUGGAUUUCGGUUGAGAGCGGCCGGUCCGCCGUUUGGUGUGCACUGGCUGGUUUCAGCUUCCUGCAGAGGACGCGCUCUGGGCUUAAUCGUCUGGACGUGGAGUCUGCGUGGUUACUUUGAAAAAAUUAGAGUGUUCAAAGCGGGCUUACGCUUGAAUAUUUCAGCAUGGAAUAACACUAUAGGACUCCCGUCCUAUCUCGUUGGUCUCGGGAUGGGAGUAAUGAUUAAGAGGAACAGUUGGGGGCAUUCGUAUUUAACAGUCAGAGGUGAAAUUCUUGGAUUUGUUAAAGACGGACUACUGCGAAAGCAUUUGCCAAGGAUGUUUUCAUUA